GCAGUCCAUCUAGUCUAUCCGUAGUGAAAGCCAGCCCAGAAAGAUGUGCAGGGGCAUCUGCAGAGUGAGCAAAGUAAUUAGUUAAUAUUCCAGAGGUAUAAGAAAUAUUUUAGAAAUAAGAAACAAAAAUUGAACAUCUUACAUAUGCUUAGAAUCCAACAUUUAUCCAUUUAGCUAGUUUAAACAAAUCUCACUUUGCUAAAGUAUUUGAGAAUUAAGAGAUAUCCUCGUCCAUUAAAAUCUUAUACCCCCUUGAGAACAGACCACCAAUACUGAGUGGCUUUUCUAUGUCAAGUGCAGACAUUUCUGAUAUUAGAGUAGCUGUUCCAUCUUUUCUGCAUCUACCGAAAGCAAUAUUAAACACGAGGAUAUAAGCUCUACCAUUUUAGGUCCUCAUAGAGCCUUAUCUAAAUCGUAUAAGUUUUCUUUGGUUCUGUCUUCACACCCGUAAAGAGGGAAAACAACUCAAGGAACCAUUUUAGUCCUGACAGGGUUUCACCAGCUUCUUUAAGAAGAGCUUGACAACUUUCUGAUGGAACGAGAUAGCUUUAAAAUCUAGAUAAACAAAAUUCAACGUUUAAGAACACAUCAUUAUUCCCUUACCCAUUUGUAAGUUGAGGCCAGGACUACCUUCCUUCAUCCAAAUGUAGUUGAGAAGGUAAUUCUUGAGGUACACGUGUAUGUCCUGUACCAGCAGUGUUCUCAGCAACUGUUCAUGCUAUCUGUGGUCCUGAGAUUGAAAAACCAUCGAGAAUAGAAGUGUUUAUCUCUCUCUGACUGGUUUUCAUCAAGGGGAUGCCUGUCACAUCCUGCUGUAAAUACACUUACCCAAAGGUUUCCUUUAGUUCUACUCUGGAGCACAUAUGAAAAUUUAUUGCUGGUAGGAGUGGCCUCAACGUGAACCACUUGAGUGGUUCAAGUUCUGUCCUGGCUAAUUUUAGACCUUAAUUCCAAAUUCCUGAAGGAGUCCUCAGGAAAAUUGGGUGUAGUCCUCACUUUUUAGAGACCCUAACAAGUAGAGAAGAGGCCUAUGAUCUAUUUGCUUGUGAUUUAACUAACCCGUUGCCAUCCCUGGUCUUUUCCUUGCUCAUGUCUGGAGACCAUCUAGCCUCAGGGAAUUAUAAAGUGAGCACUUUCAUAAGCUCAGUCCCAAGCAAGAGUAUGCCUGUCACACCAGUGGGCUAACCUGUUUAAAACAUUGGCAAUGAUGGAUUAUUUUCGGAUUUGUCUUCCUGAGGUUCUCAGCAUUGAAAAAUGCUUUCUUUCUGGCACUGCACUUGCCUGUUCUCCUACACGGUGAAGCAAAUGUCUCCAUGACAGAUGGGCCAUGCUGCAGUCCUUAGAAGUCAGCAACCUGGAUGCUUAUCACACCAGAGGGAAAACACUCUCAAGAGUCCUCCAUGGAAGCCAGCCCUUCUCUCAUGCCAAAUGGCCAUUAUGGGGUCUAACCUGGCUGACAACUCCCUGUGGGGAAUGACUGCAUUUGACUGUGGUCCAGUGACUUUCUUGCUAAAGAGAAAACAAUACUGCCCAGGACCUAGUUCCUUCUAGCCACACCUCCUUUCUCACUUGUUUUCAUUACCUAGAGGUAUGGUCACUUCCAAACGGAAUGGUUGAAAAGCAGUGAUAAACAUUUAUUUUCCUCAGCUCUAUAAGUGGACUCUGGUGGUUCUUUGCUCCACAUGUUAGUAGGUGAGAAGGAUCAAAUUAAGGUCAAUGGUUCACCUCUAAAUUGACUUAUUCCCAUGGCAGCUGGCUCUCAAAUGAAGUGCCCAUCUUUACUUGAGAUUCCACAUGACGUGAACUUGACUCCUCACUACAAAAGGACUGCUUCCAAAGACCAGCAUCUCGUGAAGAAAAUGUGAGCAGAAGCUAUCCUGAUUUCUGUGACCUGGUCUGGACAUUGCAGGGUCACAUCUGUUAUUUUACCAUUUUCUUCAAGUGUGUGCAAUUUUAAAGAGCUGUCCAAGUUCAGGGUGAAAACGUUAUAAUUCAUAGAGAAUAGAUGUGGACAACAAAGCUCGUCAAGGUUGCACAGGGAAAGAAAUAUUUUGAUGACUAUCUGUGGAAUAUGAAAUUUGGGCUCAUUCCCUCAUUGUCCCAGGCAUAUUCUCUAGUAGGGCUUGAUUUUGAUGUCACCAUGGUAUUCUUCUUUUAGGUAUCCAUGUAGCUCCCAUUGUGACUUCCUUUACAUCUUCACCAAAAUAUUUUUUCCUCUGUAAGUACUUCCCUAGACAAGAUGUAAAAAUGUAACACAUUUUCCAGGUCUACUAAUUUUUUGAAAAAGUUCUCAGUAUGUAGAUUCUGCAUGUUUGACAUAUCUUGUUAUUUGUUUUCUCUUCCAUUAAGUUAAAACAGUAGCUUCCACAUAAGCACGGACUUUGUUUAUUUCGUGUAUUGUUCUUUCCUUGGUGCUAGAAGAUUAUCUGAUAAUGGAACUAGGACACAGUGACUACCUGCUUAAGUAAAACAAUGUACAGCUUCCCUAAGAAAUGGCUCUGAGCCUGGGCCCACAUUUACCCAGUUUAUUAUAUGCUAACCAGUGUCAGACAUAUCUCUAUUAUAAAAUUAUUUCAAUAUUGAUUAUUAACUAUGAUGGUUUAGAAUAACUUGAUUUGGGAGGCGAUCAGCAAUGAUCUACCAGCAUUCCACUUCUUGUCACUGACUAAUGUCACCUCUCCUUGCUCCCCUACAGAUAUGCAGAACUGACUACUAUGUACAUUCAUAUGUACUAUGUACAUUCAGUACUCUGGACCACAGUGCUUCUGAAUAGACGUAGGAAUUGUAUCAAGAGAAAAGAGAAAAUCACAGGCCAUACCCAGGAGACAAGAUGUCACUCUAGCAGUGAACCGGGCCAAGAGGAACAAGGCAGAAAAAGAGAUCAGAGACGGAUGUGCACUGUUUUCAACUCAACGUAAGCUUCGUCUUCACAUCAAACCGGAACAGAUCAAUAGGUAACACAUGCUGCAUCUAAGCAAUGAAUGAAUAAGUAUAAAAAAAUUAAGAAAAGUAAAUGUGUGCUUAUUCAACUGACAUGGAGAAACGCCCAGGCAUGGUUUCUAUGCGACAAUGAACGAGAAAUGUGAUAUCCAAAGCAGGGACUCCAGAUGUUAUUUCUCUGUGGAACUUCUAAGGAGUCUUCACCUCUCCAAAGAACUUGUGCUUGUUCUGAGCCUUCACGGGAAAAAACUCCAAGUAGAGAUAUGGAUUCUCUCUAUGGAUUUUCAGGAACAACCGAGAAGCAGCUGGUAGGACACAGGUCAAACAAUAUUCUAGGCAAGAGAGCUAAGGAGCUCUCCUUGGUUUGGAGGAGUUCAAGAGAAAUGUAGACUACUUUGUGUAAAUAGAUGUUUUGUAUAUAGUUAAGAAAAUAAAAUUGCCUCACUGAGAUAGAAGGUUUUUAACUCAGUUUAGGCCUCCUGUGUCUUUACUGGCAUAAAUAUUAGACAGUAAAAACAGUUACACUGAAGUCUCUUUUAAUUCCUAUCUUAGAUUGCUUUAGACACAUAGUUAACUUUAGACAAAGAUGAAGUGCUUAAAAUUAUAACGCGAAAUACAGACCAUGGGAAAAUGUAAGUGUCACAUACUCUCAUAUGUUUAUAGCUAUAGAAAAUCCUGAAGAUUCUUGCUCCACUCUUGCCUUGCAUUAUUAACUAUGUGUUACACUGCAUCCUUCUAAAACACUUUCCCAAUAUUAUUUUUUAUUGGUGUGGACUUUCAGAUGGCCUGGGUAUACCUGGAUGCACUUGAAUACAUUAAGUCAGGAUCUUCAGUCUGAUUGUCUAGGCAUCGGCACUUGAAAAGGUCACUAUUGUAUUCUGGCUUUAUUAGUCCCGAGAACCACUGAGUAUUGUGUGUUCUAGUCUCCCUUGCUACUGGUACUCUCCAGCCCCAGCCCUAAGGCCAACCCUUCUGUAGACCCUGCAACUCUGCUACAUAAUAUUCUGCAGGGGUUUCACAUUCCUUUGUGGCAAUACUUAUUUAGUAUUUAUCUUCCUCAGACUCUUUUCAAAUUGAACCUUUAAGGGCUUGUUUACUGUGACAUCCAUCACUGGCCAUCCUGGUGUUUUGCUACCAAGAAUAAUGAUUAAACUGGAGUUAAAUUAUUUCCUCACUUUGUUUUCUGCAUUAAUGAAGUGACCUUUAUACAUGACCAGCUGAGCACUGAUUGAGGUCACUUAAGGCAAAUUUAUCUUCACUAAAUAGGACUCUGGUUUAAACUAAGGAAAUUGUUUGGACAUCCCAUAAUGAGUGACACAUUGUAAGGUUGUAAAUAUAAAACAAGUCUGUAUUUUUCUACCAUGCAAUUUUUUUAUAGAUAUGCACUUGACUCUUGCUCUAUGUGCAAGAAAAUAUACAACGUUUUUUAAAGUGUGCUGUUGCAUAACUUUCAUAGUUCCGUAUGGCCCUGGGAUGCUACCGUCAAGAAAAGGCAUCAUGAAUUUUACCCAGCCGUGAACUCUGUGAGAUACAAUAACAGCCAAGUCUAGCAAGGCCUGCCCACUAGUACAAUAAUGACAUGAAUGCCAUGGGAAUAACUAGGUUUUAAGACCUAUUCCACAUGAUAAAAUCCAGACUUGGUUCCAUUUUGAUGCCAGCAACCUGUGGCUAGAGAAACCCUGGACCACUAGUAUUUUUUAUAGUAAUAUAAAAGGUUUUUUAAUAUUAAAUAGACCUCUAACAACUUAUGGUUAAGCUCUAUCUUCAAAAUGCUUCUGUUAACAGUAGAUGGCAGCCAACAUAGAGACGUACAACUGGUCAAAGUACAAAGAAUAAGAAACUGCAGAAUACACAUCCCUAAAUAAGACAUCUAUAUCAUACUCCAUCCCUGUAAGGCGCAGGGAUCAUUGCAGAAGAUGGGGUGACAAGUGUGUAAGAGCCAGGGACAACGGAUAACUACAAAAAACAGCAUCGUCCAGACACUGCAGAAGACUUGUGCCCAUGAACUCAUAGAGGUUGUUACAGAUGCAUAUGACUUGACUAAAUGCCAGCAUGUGGACAGAAGGGGACACAAAGUCCCACUCCUAGGAGAUGAGGAUUUGUUCAACAGUCUUGCUGUGAAUUUCAAGCUCUUUGAUCUCUCCAUCCUCUUACUUCACCCUCCCUAGUGCUGGAUUAUAGCUGUGUGUCUGCAAGUCUCACUAUACUUGUUGAUCUGAGUGAUUUCAGAAGUUUACACCCAAGUGUGUCCAUACUGUGUCCUGUGAAUCUGAGAGCAGAUAUAAAUGGUGGGAAGGAAGCAUUUGGCAGACCUCUUUUUAAACAGCUUAUGGAACAGUGUUUCCUGACUUCUUCCAUCAUCCUUAACUCAAACAUGGGAUUUAGUCUUAGGCUAAAGCCUGUGAGAAUCCAUAUAAAGUAAAGUUCUGGGUAGACCCUGGGCACCCAGAGUGCAAACUCUUCAGGUGGGGAUACAUCAAAACAUGGCAUCUGAAAUAAGGACACAGAUGCCCAAGACCCCUGCUGACAAAAGCUGAAAGAAACACAUGCCAACUCCCCAUCCUCUUGCCAUACACAUGGAUUUGUAAUAUUCCUCUGUGCUGUACACUGGGAAGGCCUGACUCCACCCAAGCCUGAUGCUGAUGUCAUCUGCACAGUCCUACAACACAUAACUGGAUACUAACUGCUUUCAGAUAAUUGAAGAAGAAUAGUGAAAGAAAGAUGAAAUUUCAAGACCUGUAAGUCAUAUAAAGUACUCAGAAAUUGCUGGUUG